rnacentral:rRNA from 1 species
CGAACGCUGGCGGCGUGCUUAACACAUGCAAGUCGAACGGAAAGGCCCUGCUUUUGUGGGGUGCUCGAGUGGCGAACGGGUGAGUAACACGUGAGUAACCUGCCCUUGACUUUGGGAUAACUUCAGGAAACUGGGGCUAAUACCGGAUAGGAGCUCCUGCUGCAUGGUGGGGGUUGGAAAGUUUCGGCGGUUGGGGAUGGACUCGCGGCUUAUCGGCUUGUUGGUGGGGUAGUGGCUUACCAAGGCUUUGACGGGUAGCCGGCCUGAGAGGGUGACCGGCCACAUUGGGACUGAGAUACGGCCCAGACUCCUACGGGAGGCAGCAGUGGGGAAUAUUGCACAAUGGGCGGAAGCCUGAUGCAGCAACGCCGCGUGCGGGAUGACGGCCUUCGGGUUGUAAACCGCUUUCGCCUGUGACGAAGCGUGAGUGACGGUAAUGGGGAAAGAAGCACCGGCUAACUACGU